GGAGAGAGGGGCACGGAAGCAGGGAAGUUCCACAUCCUUCUCGAUUUUUUUUUCCCUCUCAAGUGGGGUGCACACAGAUGCCCCUGCGAGAAGCCACGGGUCUAUGGUCCCACGUUCCAUAUGGCAUAGGUGGGAAAAAGACCUCUUAGGCCAGGCCUCACACUCGAUAUAUGCCAAACUGACUGCCUAUCGAUACAGUAAUAGGGUGGCACCGAUAAGAGGCUCCAUACCAACAUGGCAAACCUUAGUUCUAGGGUUGUCUAUAAGUUUAAAGAUCUAAAACCAAAAUAUUAUAAAAAUAAAAAAUAUACUAAAACCUACGAAACAUUGAAAGAAAAAAAAUGCCAG
rnacentral:lncRNA from 1 species